AACGCAUCUUGCGCUCCUUGGUAUUCCGAGGAGCAUGCCUGUUUGAGUGUCAUUAAAUUCUCAACUCUCUUUGAUUUCUUCAAAUGUGAGCUUGGAGUUUGGGGGUAUGCUGGCUGCAAAGUCAGCUCCUCUUAAAUGCAUUGGCAAAGGCAUGUGCAUGAAUUGGCCUUUCGGUGUGAUAAUGAUCACCGUGGCUGGAUUGCUAUAAUGCUUGUGCCCUACCUUUUUCCAUUACAUGGAAAAUAUUACUUGACUAUUUGACCUCAAAUCAGGUAGGACUACCCGCUGAACUUAA
rnacentral:misc_RNA from 1 species